rnacentral:lncRNA from 1 species
CAAUAAACCAAGCAACACCCAUUAAGAAAAGGGUUAUAUAUUUUGUAUAGGCUAAAAUUAAUGUGAUUCAAUGUGUUAUGGAAGUUGCAACGAUUCUUCCCUUCCAUAUUCACUUAGGCAAAUUUGAUGAGUGUUCCAAAGAAGACUAUUCUCUGUGUCUGCGACUUAAGUGCUUUUGAGAGACAGGACUAGCUGGAUUUCCUAGGCCGAUUAAGAAUCCCUAAGCCUAGCCGGGAAGGUGACCGCAUCCGCCUUUAAACACGGGGUUUGCAACUUAGCUCACACCCAAGCAAUCAGGGAGUAAAGAGAGCUCACUAAAAUGCUAAUUAGGCAAAAACAGGAGGUAAAGAAAUAGCUGAUCAUCUAUUGUCUGAGAGCACAGCAGGAGGGACAAUGAUAGGGAUAUAAACCCAGGCAUUCGAGCCAGCAACGACAGCCCCUUUUGGGUCCCCUCCCUUUGUAUGGGAGCUCUGUUUUCACUCUGUUAAAUCUUGCAACUGCACUCUCUGGUCUGUGUUUGUUACAGCUCAAGCUGAGCUUUUGCUCGCCAUCCACCACUGGGGUUUGCCGCCGUCGCAGACAGAGACCCGCCACUGACUUCCAUCUCUCCUGAUCCAGCAGGGUGUCCACUGUGCUCCUGAUCCAGCGAGGCGCCCAUUGCCGCUCCUGAUCCGGCUAGAGGCUUGCCGUUGUUCCUGCACAGCUGAGUGCCCAGGUUCGUCCUAAUCGAGCUGAACAGUAGUCACUGGGUUCCACGGUUCUCUUCUGUGACCCACGGCUUCUAAUAGAGCUAUAACACUCACCUCAUGGCCCAAGAUUCCAUUCCUUGGAAUCUGUGAGGCCAAGAACCCCACCUCAGAGAACACGAGGCUUGUCACCAUCUUGAAAGCUGCCUGCCGCCAUUUUGGAAGCAGCCCACCACCCUCUUGGGAGCUCUGGGAGCAAGGACCCCCAGUAACACUUCCACAUGGCACCAUGGGUCACCUGAAUCCUGAGUUUUUAUUAGAGCUAGUCAGGCAGUUCAGAUAAGAACUCACAAAGUGAAGAGAGAAAACUUUCUCUGCUACAGCUCUGGUGACUGUGACAGAAAGUCAGAACUGUAUAUUUCCUCCUCUACAACCCUAUAGAGCUUAUAUAUAUAUAGAUUACAUUAAUCAAUAUUCACUCUCUUAAAAAUUAAAAUUGGAAA